rnacentral:rRNA from 1 species
UACCCGCAGCACAAGUGGUGGUCAUUAUUAUUGGGCCUAAAGCGUCCGUGGCUGGCUUGUUAGAUGCCUGGGUAAAUCGAUGCGCUCAACGCAUCGAACUCCGGGUAGACCGGCAAGCUUGGGACCGGGAGAGGCGUGAGCUACUCGAGGGGUAGGGGUAAAAUCCUGUAAUCCUUCGGGGAGGACCAGUGGCGAAGGCGUCACGCUAGAACGGCUCCGACAGUGAGGGACGAAGCCCUGGGGCGCAAACCGG